rnacentral:rRNA from 1 species
AGACCCGAAACCCGGUGAUCUAGCCAUGGGCAGGUUGAAGGUUGGGUAACACUAACUGGAGGACCGAACCGACUAAUGUUGAAAAAUUAGCGGAUGACCUGUGGCUGGGGGUGAAAGGCCAAUCAAACCGGGAGAUAGCUGGUUCUCCCCGAAAGCUAUUUAGGUAGCGCCUCGUGAAUUCAUCUCCGGGGGUAGAGCACUGUUUCGGCUAGGGGGCCAUCCCGGCUUACCAACCCGAUGCAAACUGCGAAUACCGGAGAAUGUUAUCACGGGAGACACACGGCGGGUGCUAACGUCCGUCGUGAAGAGGGAAACAACCCAGACCGCCAGCUAAGGUCCCAAAGUCAUGGUUAAGUGGGAAACGAUGUGGGAAGGCCCAGACAGCCAGGAUGUUGGCUUAGAAGCAGCCAUCAUUUAAAGAAAGCGUAAUAGCUCACUGGUCGAGUCGGCCUGCGCGGAAGAUGUAACGGGGCUAAACCAUGCACCGAAGCUGCGGCAGCGAACGUAUCACUUAAAGCGAUUCAGCGGGUUACGAUUGACGGAGCGAAGCGACGUCAAAGCGUAUACAAAGUCGAGUCGGUUUAAGGAUACGUUCGUUGGGUAGGGGAGCGUUCUGUAAGCCUGUGAAGGUGUGUCGUGAGGCAUGCUGGAGGUAUCAGAAGUGCGAAUGCUG